rnacentral:rRNA from 1 species
AACGAACGCUGGCGGCAUGCCUAACACAUGCAAGUCGAACGAGAUCUUCGGGUCUAGUGGCGCACGGGUGCGUAACGCGUGGGAAUCUGCCCUUUGGUUCGGAAUAACAGUUGGAAACGACUGCUAAUACCGGAUGAUGACGAAAGUCCAAAGAUUUAUCGCCAGAGGAUGAGCCCGCGUAGGAUUAGCUAGUUGGUGUGGUAAAGGCGCACCAAGGCGACGAUCCCUAGCUGGUCUGAGAGGAUGAUCAGCCACACUGGGACUGAGACACGGCCCAGACUCCUACGGGAGGCAGCAGUGGGGAAUAUUGGACAAUGGGGGAAACCCUGAUCUAGCAAUGCCGCGUGAGUGAAGAAGGCCUUCGGGUUGUAAAGCUCUUUUGUGGGGAAAGAUAAUGACGGUCCCUCACGAAUAAGCCCCGGCUAACUUCGUGCCAGCCGCCGCCGUAA